GACGAACGCUGGCGGCGUGCCUAAUACAUGCAAGUAGAACGCUGAAGGAGGAGCUUGCCCUUCUGGAUGAGUUGCGAACGGGUGAGUAACGCGUAGGUAACCUGCCUGUUAGCGGGGGAUAACUAUUGGAAACGAUAGCUAAUACCGCAUAAGAGUAGAUGUUGCAUGACAUUUACUUAAAAGGUGCAAUUUCAUCACUACCAGUUGGACGUGCGUUGUAUUAUCUAGUUGGUGGGAUAACGGCUUACCAAGGCGACGAUACAGAGCCGACCUGAGAGGGUGAUCGGCCACACUGGGACUGAGGCACGGCCCAGACUCCUACGGGAGGCAGCAGUAGGGAAUCUUCGGCAAUGGACGGAAGUCUGACCGAGCAACGCCGCGUGAGUGAAGAAGGUUUUCGGAUCGUAAAGCUCUGUUGUAAGAGAAGAACGAGUGUGAGAGUGGAAAGUUCACACUGUGACGGUAUCUUACCAGAAAGGGACGGCUAACUACGUG
rnacentral:rRNA from 1 species